AUUGAACGCUGGCGGCAGGCCUAACACAUGCAAGUCGAACGAUUGGCGGACGGGUGAGUAAUGUCUGGUAAACUGCCUGAUGGAGGGGGAUAACUACUGGAAACGGUAGCUAAUACCGCAUACCAUCGGAUGUGCCCAGAUGGGAUUAGCUAGUAGGUGGGGUAAAGGCUCACCUAGGCGACGAUCCCUAGCUGGUCUGAGAGGAUGACCAGGGACACUGGAACGGAGACACGGUGCAGACGCAUACGGGAGGCAGAAGUGGGGAAUAGUGCACAAUGGGGGAAAGCGUGAUGCAGCCAUGCGGCGUGUAUGAAGAAGGGCUGAGGGUUGUAAAGUACGUUCAGCGGGGAGGCGUUACCCGCAGAAGAAGCACCGGCUAACUCCGUGCCAGCAGCCGCGGUAAUUC
rnacentral:rRNA from 1 species